rnacentral:lncRNA from 1 species
GGACGGAAAGGGGAUUUAGUGCCCAUAUGAUUUUUUGGUAGCUCUAUUUCUCAAAUGCUCCAACUCAGUACUGCCUUGCAAUAGUUCUUCGAUAGCUUCUGAAAACAUGAAAUCGUGAUGUCAUAUUAAAAUCAAACGAUAACAGUGAAAGGUGGAAGUGGUUUAAGGAUUUAACCUUUCACAUACCUGGACACAUGUCAAUACAUACCGAACAGCACCAUAUGAAAUUUGAUAAUGGAUGACAAACCUAAUACUACAUGACACAUGGUUUCAGUCAGACUAUGAAUAUAAUUGCAAACUGCUUGAAGUAAUAGGUUGAUUCUGCUAAUUGAACAUAGGGUUUCAGUAAGACAAUGUUAUGUAGUCUAGCUUGUUACUGGAGACUGGAGGCAAUGUUGCACAGCCAACCAAAACGAUGUUAAGAAUAAAGGAUCAAGUAGAACAGUCAGCAUGUUAUUAAAUAAAAAAUUACCCAGUAAGAGAAUAGGACGUCACCUUUUUGAAUUGGCUAGAUUGCAAGCACAUUGUGCUGUUUCAAGAGUUGACACAGUUUGUUAAGUGAUAUUCUUGUAUCCAUGAUAUCAAAGACCUUGCAAAGAGUUGAAAUGUGCAUAUAAGACCAUUAUUACAGCUAACAAUUAGAAAGUAAGAUCAUCUUUUAAUUCACAGUGAUCCCUAUCAUUAUAUAUAGAUUAAGAUCGCAUUACUCGUAGACUAUGUCGGACUACAUGUGAGUGUUAGUCUUGUGUCGAUGCCUUUUGGUUGAAACAAACAAUUGAGUUUUGACAGACUUAGUAGCACUUAUAACAAAUCAUUUAGAAAUAUUCCAUAGUGUUCUGAGUGUCCCACAUAAAUUAAAAAAAAGCUUCAACGAACAAUGUUGGUAAUCAAGCAAAUUUUAGUGCUCUACAUAAGUAAAUCUUUGACAAAUUUCUAAAUACAGUGACCUAGCAAACUUUCGUGCAUCACUUAAAAAAAUGAUUCACUGCAACAGUGGCCAGAACAUCUCCACCCACUGACGAGACUAACAGAACCAUUUAUGUUUGUACACAACACCAUUUUAAGAGAAUUGAGACCUACUAACUGAACAAGAGCCUAAUAGUACACCAUUUCAUGAAGCAGAAAGAUAAGCAAAUAUUUCAGUCUGGUACAAAAACAAUCCCAAUACAGUCUAGAAAAAUUGGUUACCUCCUUUACAGUUGAUGUGAUGUCACGUUGUAGGAUCCUGGAGCACAAUGACCAUCUCCACAAACCUUGAACUAAAGAAAAAUCUAUCCAAAAUUCAGAAGCACAUGGCAAAUCACAACCAUAGUUCAAGCAGUUAGUACUAUUAAUAUGCAAAC